UCGGGAAUUUUGGGCAAUGGGCGAAAGCCUGACCCAGCAACGCCGCGUGAAGGAUGAAGUAUUUCGGUAUGUAAACUUCGAAAGAAUAGGAAGAAUAAAUGACGGUACUAUUUAUAAGGUCCGGCUAACUACGUGCCAGCAGCCGCGGUAAUACGUAGGGACCAAGCGUUGUUCGGAUUUACUGGGCGUAAAGGGCGCGUAGGCGGCAAUUCAAGUCAUCUGUGAAAUCUCCGGGCUUAACUCGGAACGGUCAGAUGAUACUGCUUUGCUAGAGUGCAGAAGGGGCAAUCGGAAUUCUUGGUGUAGCGGUGAAAUGCGUAGAUAUCAAGAGGAACACCUGAGGUGAAGACGGGUUGCUGGGCUGACACUGACGCUGAGGCGCGAAAGCCAGGGGAGCAAACGGGAUUAGAUACCCCCGUAGUCCCUGAGCGGGCUGGCAAGGCG
rnacentral:rRNA from 1 species